AGUGAACGCUGGCGGUAGGCCUAACACAUGCAAGUCGAACGGCAGCACAGUAAGAGCUUGCUCUUACGGGUGGCGAGUGGCGGACGGGUGAGGAAUACAUCGGAAUCUACUUUUUCGUGGGGGAUAACGUAGGGAAACUUACGCUAAUACCGCAUACGACCUACGGGUGAAAGCAGGGGAUCUUCGGACCUUGCGCGAUUGAAUGAGCCGAUGUCGGAUUAGCUAGUUGGCGGGGUAAAGGCCCACCAAGGCGACGAUCCGUAGCUGGUCUGAGAGGAUGAUCAGCCACACUGGAACUGAGACACGGUCCAGACUCCUACGGGAGGCAGCAGUGGGGAAUAUUGGACAAUGGGCGCAAGCCUGAUCUAGCCAUACCGCGUGGGUGAAGAAGGCCUUCGGGUUGUAAAGCCCUUCUGUUGGGAAAGAAAAGCAGCAGGUUAAUACCCCGCUGUUCUGACGGUACCCAAAGAAUAAGCACCGGCUAACUUCGUG
rnacentral:rRNA from 1 species